rnacentral:pre_miRNA from 1 species
CCUUAUCUGGAUCGGGUUUCGCUGGCUAACGUGUUGUGCGCGCGAGCAAAUUCUUCAAUUCGUUGUCGACGAAACCUGCACGGAGUAAGG